UGAAUACGAGACGCUAAGGCGUCGAAGUAGUGUAUGUCAUACUUCCAAGAAAAGCUUGCACUGUCAUAGAUAAAAAACGCCUGUACCAUAACCGACACAGGUGGGUAGGUAGAGUAUACUAAGGGGCGCGAGAUAACUCUCUCUAAGGAACUCGGCAAAAUAACUCCGUAACUUCGGGAGAAGGAGUGCCUUAUUCUUAAGGUUGCAAUAACAAGGUCCAAGCAACUGUUUAUCAAAAACACAGGUCUCCGCUAAGUCGUAAGACGAUGUAUGGGGGCUGACGCCUGCCCAGUGCCAGAAGGUUAAAGAAGCUGGUUAGCAUUUGCGAAGCUAGUAACUGAAGCCCUGGUGAACGGCGGCCGUAACAAUAACGGUCCUAAGGUAGCGAAAUUCCUUGUCGGGUAAGUUCCGACCCGUACGAAAGGCGUAAUGAUUUGGAUACUGUCUCGGAGAGGGGCUCGGUGAAAUAGACUUGUCUGUGAAGAUGCGGACUACCUGCACCAGGACAGAAAGACCCUAUGAAGCUUUACUGUAACUUGAAAUUGAAAUUGGACUUUAUUCGCGCAGUAUAGGUGGGAGGCGUUGAUUAUAAUCUUGCGGGAUUAUUGGAGCCAUUAGUGAGAUACCACUCUUGUAAUGUUAGAUUUCUAACUUUGAAUCAUUAUCUGGUCAAAGAACAGUUUCAGGCGGGCAGUUUGACUGGGGCGGUCGCCUCCUAAACGGUAACGGAGGCGUACAAAGGUUUCCUCUGAACGGUUAGAAAUCGUAUCUAGAGUGUAAAGGCAUAAGGAAGCUUGACUGUGAGACCUACAAGUCGAGCAGGGACGAAAGUCGGUCUUAGUGAUCUGACGGUACUGAGUGGAAAGGCCGUCACUCAACGGAUAAAAGUUACUCUAAGGAUAACAGGCUGAUCUCCCCCAAGAGUUCACAUCGACGGGGAGGUUUGGCACCUCGAUGUCGGCUCAUCGCAUCCUGGGGCGGUAGUACGUCCCAAGGUUUGGGCUUUCGCCCAUGAAAGCGGUACGCGAGCUGGGUUCAGAACGUCGUGAGACAGUUCGGUCCAUAUCCGGUGUAGGCGUUAGAAUAUUGAGAGGAGCCUUCUUUAGUACGAGAGGACCGAGAAGGACAUACCUCUGGUGUACCAGUUAUCGUGCCAACGGUAAACGCUGGGUAGCUAUGUAUGGAGUGGAUAACCGCUGAAAGCAUCUAAGUGGGAAGCCCACCUCAAGAUAAGUA
rnacentral:rRNA from 1 species